CUCUCACUGUUCAAAUAAACCUACCAUUAAAAUUAUAGACUGAUCAUUUCUUUGUCAGUGGGCAAACGUACAAAAUCAGCAGGGGUUCAAAUACUUUUUUCCCUCACUGUAUAUAAUCGCUGUUUUUAGAGCUUUAUUGCGUGUGCAUACGAGAAGAAUUACAGAUUUCUCUAAACUCUUUCGCCAGGGUUAAAACAUUAACACCAAGUUAAUGUAAAACAUUAACACCAAGGUAAUGUAAACCAUUAACACCAAGGUAAUGUAAACCAUUAACACCAAAGUAAUGUAAACCAUUAACACCAAGGUAAUGUAAACCAUUAACACCAAGAUGAUGUAAACCAUUAACACCAAGGUAAUGUAAACCAUUAACACCAAGGUAAUGUAAACCAUUAACAUUAAGGUAAUGUAAACCAUUAACACCAAGGUAAUGUAAACCAUUAACACCAAGAUGAUGUAAACCAUUAACACCAAGGUGAUGUAAACCAUUAACACCAAAGUAAUGUCAACCAUUAACACUAAGGUGAUGUAAACCAUUAACACCAAGGUAAUAUUAACACCAAGGUAAUGUAAACCAUUAACACCAAGGUAAUAUAAACCAUUAACACCAAGAUAAUGUAAACCAUUAACACCAAGGUAAUAUAAACCAUUAACACUAAGGUAAUGUAAACCAUUAACACCAAGAUAAUGUAAACCAUUAACACCAAGGUAAUGUAAACCAUUAACACCAAGGUAAUGUAAACCAUUAACACCAAGGUAAUGUGAACCAUUAACACUAAGGUAAUGUAAACCAUUAACACCAAGGUAAUGUAAACCAUUAACACCAAGGUAAUGUAAACCAUUAACACUAAGGUGAUGUAAACCAUUAACACCAAGGUAAUGUAAACCAUUAACACUAAGGUAAUGUAAACCAUUAACACUAAGGUAAUAUAAACCAUUAAUACUAAGGUAAUGUAAACCAUUAACACUAAGGUAAUGUAAACCAUUAACACUAAGGUAAUGCAAACCAUUAACACUAAGGUAAUGCGAACCAUUAACACUAAGGUGAUGUAAACCAUUAACACUAAGGUAAUGUGAACCAAUAACACCAAGGUAAUGUAAACCAUUAACACCAAGGUAAUGUAAACCAUUAACACCAAGGUAAUGUAAACCAUUAACACCAAGGUAAUGUAAACCAUUAACACUAAAGUAAUGUAAACCAUUAACACCAAGGUAAUGUAAACCAUUAACAGCAAGAUAAUGUAAACCAUUAACCCCAAGGUAAUGUAAACCAUUAACCCCAAGGUAAUGUAAACCAUUAACACUAAGGUGAUAUAAACCAUUAACACCAAGGUAAUGUAAACCAUUAACACCAAGGUAAUGUAAACCAUUAACACCAAGGUAAUGUUAACCAUUAACCCCAAGGUAAUGUAAACCAUUAACCCCAAGGUAAUGUAAACCAUUAAUACCAAUGUAAUGUAAACCAUUAACACUAAGGUAAUGUAAACCAUUAACACCAAGGUAAUGUAAACCAUUAACACUAAGGUAAUGUAAACCAUUAACAUCAAGGUGAUGUAAACCAUUAACACUAAGGUAAUGUAAACCAUUAACACUAAGGUAAUGUAACCA